CCUUGACCGUGACGUAAGAGUGCCUCCACGGGUCUCCGGGCACCAUAACAACUUGUUUUAGAUAAAGUUGUUUUCGUGUCUGAAGUACCCCUUUAACCUCUUUGUCCCCGUACUGUUGACCCUUUGAGUUACUGUGAUGUCAAGAAUAGUGUGUGCCUACCAAAACACUGUGCAAAGUGAGCUCUUAGCAGUUAGUAAUUUGCUAAAGGUGCUGCAUCU